UACGGAGGGGGCGAGCGUUGUCCGGAAUCAUUGGGCGUAAAGGGCGUGUAGGCGGCCUUGUAAGUCAGAUGUGAAAUCCCUCGGCUCAACUGAGGAACUGCCUUUGAAACUGCAAGGCUUGAGGCCGGGAGGGGGUAGCGGAAUUCCCAAUGUAGCGGUGAAAUGCGUAGAUAUUGGGAGGAACACCAGUGGCGAAGGCGGCUACCUGGACCGGUUCUGACGCUGAGGCGCGAAAGCGUGGGUAGCAAACAGG
rnacentral:rRNA from 1 species